GAGUUCAGCCGGUGGAGCAUGAGACUCUUAAUCUCAGGGCUGUGGGUUCAAGCCUCACGUUGUGCA
rnacentral:tRNA from 1 species